GGGGGGGGGGUGGACAUGCCGACCUUCUCUGCUCAACAGUGCACUUUUCUAUUUGGUGCUGCAGACAAAUAGGUUAUGGGAAACUUCUCAACCCCUCCUCUCUCUCUCCCCCUCUCACUGGCUCUCGCUUAUACGGUAGCUGUCGUUCUCGUGCGCUUGGACUGUGCUCUUGUGAGAAUCAGAGCCGCUGAGGCACGCGUAAUCAACUGCGUAUUAGCGGCAAUUUUAAACCGAAAGCAGCCUGUGCACGCCGGCUUCAUACCUACAGCAGGAGAUGCAUCUGGUCACGUCGACUUCGGCAUAAUUAUAAAAAACCUUUGCUCAAAUAAUAUGUGAAAAUGCUUAGACUAGCUUCAUGUGAGCAUGUGAGUCAAAUGUCUUAUUCGCUCUUAUUGAUUUUAGCAGUGCUCUGAGAUUGUUAUUUGUAUUUGGUUAUGCUCUAUAAGGCCUGAAUGAGGUAGAUGUUUUCCAACUUAAAGCUGUUAUUUGUCUUAAUAGAUAUGAACUGUUGCUGACAUUAUUCACCUAAACCAAUUCAGUCAGAACGCCAUCAGCGUUAAUGAUAGCUGUCUUUUAAUCUAGAUGUAGCCAAAAUUAGAGACCUAUAAGCCAAGAGAUCCAUUAUUUGUGUAUGUUACUGUACAGGCCUGGAGAACAUCUUGUGUGCUUACAUCUGUGAUGUUUCAGAUAGUUAAUGACAGAGUGGAAAUGAAUUGAAGACACAUUGUAUAAGAUAAGUGAUAUAAAUAAUUUUAUUGAAAAUGUUUUUCAACUUUACAAUCACACGCAUACACACAGACAGACAGAGAGAGAGACAGAGAGAGAGAGAGAGAGAGAGAGAGAGAGAGAGUUGUGCUGUGAGUCCCACAUUCUGAAACCCACACAGAUGCUGGAAAGUCAGCAUCACGUUUUGAUUGAUAGGUUUGUCACUUACUGCACUCAAUUACAGUUCUCACGAAACAGAAAGUAGGCAUGAGUAGCCUAUGUAAUCAAUUUAAAAAUAAGAUUCUGAUAUCAGUGGUCCGAAUAUGAGGGUAUCCACAUAUAUUAGCAAUGGAAACCACCUUACUCUGUCUAGAGAGCAGCUGCUAUACAUACCUUUGCGUGUUGACUGUCAUUGCCAGAGGGAACAAUCGCAAGAUUCCUCUUAUCGCCGGCGAGCAUUUCCAUGUGUUCAGUCGCACUAGAAUCGAAAAUCCUUGUGAGCGAGGGCGAUUGGCGUUGCCUUUCAAAUAUUUCCAUCAAGCAUGCUCGUCGUUGAAAAUACGUUUUGCGUUUAGCAAAAGUGCGUAAGGAUCGCCGCUUCAACCUGCACUCUAGAGAUUUCUAAUGACAUCAUCAUUAUCAUCAUCACCACCACCAUCAUCAUCGCCUUGCACUCGCGUGGUCCAAGACCUUUGACCUUUUCUGGCUGGUCCAUAUUUUGGUACUGGAAGCCCGUCCCCCCGCUUACCCCCUCCGCCCCCCCACUCCUCGAGAUGUGGCCCUGUUCCCUCUCUCAGACCGCUGGCAGCAGCAACACAAUCCUCCUCUCGUCUCUCUCAUAGCAGCUCUCAGGGAUCUGUGGCAUACCGAUCUCCUCCGUGCACGGACAACCUGCCACCACUCGGCCAAAAAUAAGAGAGAGAUCUCUUUAUUCAGUGCCGAAACAAACGCGAUGUUAUUUCCGUGUGCACUUUUUUCCUCUGGAAUCGGAUUUUUCCUUUGUAUAAUCUCGCUGUUGGUUCCGUGGGAUAUCCAUCGCUCCUGCCACGAUUUAAUAGAGCCAAAGGAGCCUUUUGUGAGAUCGGGAGGGCUGAAAAAAAUGUCACCAUUACUUACCCACUGGAAGAGAGCAGGAGAAAACUGGCAUCAGUGUUAUCAAAUGAUAAACCAACAUGAGUGAUGCUUCCGAUGAGGUGCGUUGCUCUUUGAUGUGAAAAAGGAAGGUUGCGAGAGCUCUCUCCAGCACAUGCCACCCUCAUUAGUGUCCAGCAGCUGAAGACGCGAGGUCACAAACCCAAUGAGUUGCACAUUUCAUUCAGCUUUGCCGACAUGGAAAGAUGACCACUGUGACCUAAUGUUCGGUGCGGUCUGACAGCACAUUGUGUGCAUCAUACGAAGUGGCUUGAAUAACCCUUGAACCUUGUGUGGAGUGCAUUAUUUUUUAUGAAAUUGCCAACUUUUCAACAUUCUUGUAGAUUUUAUUCAUUCAAUAAAUUGUGCAUUUUUCUAAAAAAGGGAA
ensembl:lncRNA